GCGAAUGGGUUCUGGUUUAAGGGAUCUUGGGAGAAAGGUAACGGCACUUAUUCUUUCCUUGCUUUUCUCCAGAAAGGGAUUUCUAGACUUGGGCAUGGAGAGAAAAGGCAUGGGGCAGAGAAAGUCUCCUUCAGGCGGCUAAUUUUGGACCUGGCCUCUGGAACCUGGUCUUAGCCUGGACUAAGAGGCCUUCACCUUUUUUUCUGCUCCAUGUCAGCAGCCUCUAGCCCCCACCCAAAGGCUGUCAGCGCCUCUGAUCUCACUCUCAGCCCUGCCUUUGACCCUCACCCCGGUGGAAGCCCCAGGAGCCAAAGGGAGCCAAAAGACAGGGAUAAAGCCGAAGGGGAGAGAAAUAUAUAGUUUUUUUCUCCACUGUCUCCCCCAUAUACAAGAAAGAAAAUAAAAGUAAUUACUGUUGACAAUGGGGAGGAAGAACUGCCCAUAAAUGAAGAAGUUGGGAGGAUGGGAAGGGAGAGUAAGAAGAGAGUAUCCCUUUUGCUUGCCUCCCCCUGCCCCCAGCCUAGAGUGGAAACGGAGGCUUGAAGCCCCCAGGGUGGUUAGGUGUACCUCCUCGAUCAAAUGAUCAGACUUUGAGCUGUCUGAACUGAGAUGAUCAAGGUCUUCUGAUCCCUGCAAAGAUGGCUCCCGGAUUGGAGGGGGGCGGGGAUGGGGAAAUCUCUUCCAGGGAAAACUGGCCCGGCUCUAUGACCCUUCUAAUGUCUGCUCCUCAGAGAGCCUCUCAAUCCCAGCGAGCAACGAAAAUGGGUCCCAAUGCCCAGAAAUUCCAGGCCGUUGGUUCUUUUUGGUUUUAUUCUCGAAAGGGAAAGGCCCGAUGGGGGCAGGGGAACAGCAAGUGUCGAAGAGGCCGGAAUUUCGGACGAGCGGGGUGACAGAAGGGGAAAUUCCCGGAGCUUGGGCUCGGUCCUCUGGCUCCCCCUUGAAGAAGAUUUGUGAUCUUCGACAGCAGUCUGGGGGCUUUCCAGGGAAGCAGUGCAAAGGAUCCCAGCCCCCAACGAAUCUUUAUAUCUGUGGUGGCCGCAAAAACCUGCCGUAGGAAGAAAAAAACCCCCAAAAAACAACCCGGAUAGGUUUCGUUGACCUGCUUAAUGCAAACUAAAACCAGUUUUCGAUUGGCGAGUUCCAGAGGACGAGGGCUUCAGCCGGGCCCCAGCACCUUCCCGAAAGAUAAUUGGCCCACCUGCUAUGGGACCUGGAGACCUCCUGCUUACCGCGGUCUACAAGAGCUUUGUAACAGUAAUUUCUGCCCAAAGGAGACUUAAAACAAAAAACAAAAAACAAAAAUCCAAAACGAGUAAAAACUAAAAUGAGCAUUUCUGGCAGAACCCAGUCUGGCUCUGCCCGACAUCAGCUGCCCGAGGAUCUGAAGAUUUGGCUUUUAAGGGUAAUCACCACCCUCGGGCUCCGGUGCUCUUCCCCCUCACCCCGGACUUUUUAGAUGUACCAACUCCAUCCCGGGGCCAGGGUUGGGGUCUUCAAGCCUCGAAGAUCCCAAGACCCAGAGGGACAGAGAAAGGAGCCGUGGUCCCGGCGGGCGGGACCUUCUUGGCCACGCACCGAGGAUUUAGGGGCUUCGCGCUGGAUUGGGAACUCCGAAACCAAAAAGAAGGGAAAGGAUGACCCAGCUGAUUUUAGACCCGGGGAAGAGCUGUGCUAAUUCACUCGCUGGACUUCACCUGCAGUCUGUGCAAGGAGAGAUCGGAGUGAGAUCCGUCUUACUCAGUCUACACUCGGACAAAGGCGUCUCGGAUGGCGCCUGCUGCCCUCACUAGAUUUUCCGGUUCCCCUCGGGCUGCCUCAGAACGUGGUGUGGGGACGGGGGCAGGUGUGAGCCAGAGGGACAUCGCGCUCUCCCAGGUAGCUCUCCGGGCCGAAGCUGUUGGCCGGCACGUGGCAGGAGCUUUCUUCUGGGAGUCGAGCCGAGUGCAGGCUCCUUCUGCGACUCCCUGGGUCAGCCCCUGGCCAAAGGCCGCCACUCUAAAGCCUGUCAGACGGCUCCAAGUUCGGGGACCAGCCAGCCAGUGUGCAGAGGAACUCGCGGGUCCCAGGAGCCUGGCGGGCUCUAUCUCCCAUGGGGGGUAGGAAUGAGCACCGUUGCUUUUGACAUUCACUCUCCUGGUGGGGAUUGUAAAGCUCAGACGCUCCUCCCCUCCCCCCAAGACUGGACGCCCCGUCGGGGCUUCGCAGGGCCGGAUUUCUCUUGGCCCAGUGCAAAUUGUAUCGAGCUGACAAACUGACUAGUCACGAACGGAAUUUAGGGAGAUGAAAACGGAAAGUUGGACCCCUUAUCCCACUUGAGACUUGAUAAUGAUGGUGAUGAUGAUGAUGAUGAUGAUGAUGUUAAGCUCUGCCAGCCUGGCUGGUUAGAAUGAGCCAGCAGCUGAGGGAAGCAAUAAAGGGAGAGGAAAUUUCUGCUCUGCACCCGGGGGGAAUCGUCCUGUUUGGGGAAAUCGUGGAGAAAUCACCGCUCUGGGGACAAUGGUGUAGGCUGGAGAGGGGGGACUGAGGAGAGGUGGACAGGACGCCGGCCCAGACCGAGGCACGCACAGUCAACUGUUUUCCCGAGACAAAGACUGCAGAAACGCAAUGCACAAAGAGAGACAUACAGACAUAAUAAAGUCACACACCCCAAUAGACACAAACACACAGGCGGCGGACACACACAGAGACGUACACUACGAGCCUACGGACGCACAAUGCAGAUACUCCCAGCCAUACAACAGGCACACGUACACACCCCGAAGACACGCGCUACUCCCGACACAAGUUGGCGGAUUGGCACGGGGGCGCCCAAGCAAACUAUCUGCAUACCCCAGACACAGUUGCCACACGUAUACUAGAACUACACAACACGGAGCUUUACAUACGGCGCGGACACACACCCACCACAAACAGGCACACUACAUACAUGCAACGGACACAACAUGCAGACCUCAAAGACACGCCCACACUCAAAAGCACGUUUGAAUUUCUCUCUUGAGAGAUUUCAACGAAGCCAAACCUCUAGGAAAGUCUCUCUCUCUCUGCAACUUGGAAGAGAAGGGUUGGACAGCUCUCCGUGGAGUCCCAGUCUCAUACCCCCAAACCCACUCCACGAGCCCGUCCGCCCAGCUUGCCCUUUAACCUCUGUCCCUUGGGUGUCUUUAUUUUGGGGAAUACGUUCCUAAAUUGCUGCUACCUCCAAGGCUUGCGAAUCCAAACGAAUCGAUUUUCCUUAUAGAUUAAAAAAAAGAAAAGAAAAUGUGUGACAGAGACAGAGAGAGACAGACAGAGAGAGAGAGAGAGAGAGAGAGAAGAGAAUGAGAAUAUGAAUAAUCUUCCCUUUCUCAGACUUAAAAGAAUUAACUUCUAGCUCAGCUUUUAGAAUCAGUCAUAGAAGAAGCUACCGAAGAGAAUCCAUAUCAUAACCGAGAGAGCGCCCUUGGUCUGCAUCCCGACUCUGAUACCUAUUUUAUCCUUGGGAACGAACCUCAGUUUCCUUUCUUUGUAAAAUGGGGCUGUUAUGUGUAAUGCUCAUUUAACAAUGUGACUGUGAGACAAACACAGUCCUAGCUGUCAAGCUUUUGGUAAAUCUUAAAGCGUAAUAGAAAAGCAAGUUAUUGAGACUGAAGUUUUGUCCAAAGAUCGAUAGACCUCCUCUCCAAUCGGGUGGACUAGCCCAAAGCCAGUGGACUGCGUGACUUUCCGAUUCAGAGAACAAUUGAAUUGGACGGGAAUAUUUUAUUUUUACAGCAUUUCGUUUGCCUGCGUUUCUAGAGUAUGGUGGCUCCAUCCAGGAAGCUCCAAGCGCUCUCCAAUUUUUAAUAUCAGAGGAUUUAGAAAAUAAAAUAAAACCAAAAAAGGGGAUCCACACCUGUGGAACUAGAGCUGUAGAGCCCCUGCGGGCUAUCUUCUCCUGCCCUCUGGCUAGGUGCUAGAUUUGAUUGUCUUCCUCCUUCCUCUCCUCACCUGCCCCCUCCUCAGUAGCUAUCCACCUCCAACUUUUCCUAGAGAGCGCAAAGUCAGCUAACCAACGAGCACUCGAGCCUCUCUGCUCUCCCCACUGUGGAAUUUUCUCAGUCUCCAAGACUCAGCGGGUUCUAGCUUGCAUUUGUGUUUAUCGCAGGCAAGACCAAAUGCAUCUCCAGCGGCGCCUUUUAGCUCAGUCUCCCCAGCCAUUCCCGAACCUAGCGGGCUAGGCCAGGUACUCAGGAGCCCGUGCAGGCAAACGAAGUCCCGGCAAGUCUUUGAGGUUAGCUUAGGCUCCCUUGACAGGAAGCGACCUGGGAGACUAACUUUCUCUGUUUCUGUGCAGCUCAACCCAGCUCCCAGAGCACCUCGCAAACGUAACCUCAGCUAAGCUUUCCCAUAUUCUGAGGAGGUGGGCAGGGCAGGGCAGAAAUGAUGUUCCCCAUUUGGCAGUGGGGAAAACUGAGGCCCAGAGGGCACCUGACUUGCUUAAGGUCACAAAUUAGAGAUGGAGCCGGGAAGAGAAUUCAGAUUAACAUAAAAAGUUUCAAGGGACUUGAGAAGUCGUCUGGACCAAGCCUCUCGUUGUACAGAUGAGGAAACAGAGAUCGAGAGAGGUUACCCAGCAGUGAGAGAUUGACAUUAGAACCAGAUCCCUCUGCCAAUAAAUCCAGUACAUUUUCUGCAUUUCUCUCUUGGCUCUUUUUAAAAUAAUAAACAAAGGUAACUUCAAUUGUUGACUGGUCCCCUGGAGAUGUGUGUGUGUGUAUGUGUAUGUGUGUAUUUCCACUUGUCCCUACUUUUCCACGAAAACAUGUAAGGUGCCCCUUUACCUCUCCCGGAAUCAAAAAGAGGCUGGGACGCGAGUGAGUUAUUGUUAAUCCCAGCAUCCCCACCUCAGCCUAGCCUUUGUCUUCCAAGACUCCCAGGAGCCUGGUGAGCAGCCGCAUUGGGCAUCAGAAGAAUUCAGGAGUCCUAGAGUCUAGUAAAGAGAUGAGGGGAUGGUGAGCGCUUUAUCCGUUCCUGUUUAGUGGUUUUGAGGUGUGAUGUACGUAGAGGGAGAUCUGGUCCGGAAGAAGGUCGCCAGAGGCAGGAUAGAAAGUAAUGAGGGGGCCGACUUAUCCUCUCCCCCUUUUCUUCAGCAGACAGUCAUUAACGACGUUGCCUAUCCCAAUGAUCACUGUAGGGUCCGAGACCUCCGAGGCAGAAAGCCCACUAGCCCCAUCCCAUGGAGGUGGGACGUGAAAGCCUGGGGCAGUCCAGUUUCCGGGAGCACAGUGUAGAGAAUCUCGCCUGACCGAGACCCAGAAUCUUCAGCCAAUGGGCAACCUAGCGAGUUGCCAAACGAUCGGGAAAGUGGU
ensembl:lncRNA